GUCCACGCGGUAAACGAUGAAUGCUAGGUGUCGGGGGAGCAAAGCUCUUCGGUGCCGCCGCAAACGCAUUAAGCAUUCCACCUGGGGAGUACGUUCGCAAGAAUGAAACUCAAAGGAAUUGACGGGGGACCCGCACAAGCGGUGGAGCAUGUGGUUUAAUUCGAAGCAACGCGAAGAACCUUACCAGGUCUUGACAUCCCGAUGACCGGCCCGUAACGGGGCCUUCUCUUCGGAGCAUUGGAGACAGGUGGUGCAUGGUUGUCGU
rnacentral:rRNA from 1 species